CCAGAGGGUCGGGCGGCCGCGGCCCCGUUGCAGAACGGGGGCGAGGAAAGUCCGGGCUCCACGGAAACAACGGUGCCGGGUAAUGCCCGGCGGGGGCAACCCCAGGGAAAGUGCCACAGAGAGCAGACCGCCGCUUUCGGGCGGCAAGGGUGAAAGGGUGCGGUAAGAGCGCACCGCGGACCUGGUAACAGGGACGGCAUGGCAAACCCCACCGGGAGCAAGACCGAAUAGGGGCGGCAUAUGGGCAAGUUCCGGCCCGUCGCCCGGGUUGGUUGCUUGAGCCGCCACGCAAGUGACGGCCUAGAGGAAUGGUCGCCUAUCCGGGUGGUUCGCAAGAAGCACCCGGUGGACAGAACCCGGCUUACAGACCCUCUGGCAUU
rnacentral:RNase_P_RNA from 1 species